ensembl:lncRNA
GGGGAGUCUGCCCGUGGGCCCCUCAGUCAUAUCCCUCCUUGUGGCAGGUCUCUGCCUUGGGGGUGGAGUUCCUGUCAAUACCUUGUCCCUGUCUCUCCUACUCCUUUCUAAGUGGUCCCUCUAUUAUUUGUUGUGCAGAAGCUGUUCAAUAAGCCCUCACUUCUUCAGGAGGAAUUGCUCUCUACCUAAGUGUAGAUUUGGUGUGUCCGUCGGGGGAGUGCUUGUGGUCCAUAGCAAUUGAUGAGGCCCCAAAUGAUGUCAAAAACUAAUUUAUUCUGAAGCAGGAAUUUGCAAACUAUGGCCUAUGGCUUGUUUCUGUUCAACCCUCAAGAAAGAAAAAUUGCCAACCUUUGCUCUAAAGCAUAAUUGAGGAAAAAUAAAGGAAAAAUGGAACAGGUGAACCUAAGGGUGCUUAUCCUUAAGUUAGAAGUCAUUCCUGGUCUCUGCUUUUCCUGAACUGGACUCAGCAGCCCUCCAAGUACAAUUUUUAGAGACCAACUGGAAAAAGAAAGAACUGAAAGCUUCUAAGAAACAUCUGUCUUCAGAGGAAGGAGAGAGGAACUCCUGUCAGAGAUGGCCAUGGUCCUUCAUUUGUUACUCUACCAUUCCAGUCCUAUAGAAGUAUCAGGGCAGCUAAAAUGGAAUACUGCUAUGAAAAUUCAACAAAAUUGAUAAAAUGUGAAGAAAUUGAUUGGAAUAGCUUUCCAGAGGUUAACUUGAAUUAUAAAGUAAUAGUAGUUGUUGAAUAAAGAAGAGCAGGUAAUUGUAAGGCUUUUUCUCGCGUGUGGGAUAGAUGGAGGAGGAGAAUUGGAUUUCUUGGACUGUGCUUGAGAAUUAAGUUAAGGAUGGAGGUACAGAAGAGAUGAGAGAUGACACAAGGUAUAUUUCAAUGGAAAAGUAAUAGUUAAUAUGUGCUUGCUUCUGGGGAUAACUGGAAGCCAGAGGCCUAGGAAUGAAUUAAGGAGAAAGAAAGUCAUAGCCUGCAUGAAUUUACGAAAGUAAGAAAAGCUAACUAAGGAUGUUCCUGUUAUAUUUCAAUCCACGGAAGCGGUAGAGCUGAUUCAAAGGAUACACAAAUUAUGAUAGAAGAAAAAAACCUGGAAUUGACUCAUAGUUUCUUUGUCCCAAAGUAGUGUAUUUUCUUUUUUAAAAUUAGAACUCAGGCCACUAAAUUUGUUAUUGUGCUAAAACUAGGAACAGAAUUGGAUUAUCUCCUGGUUUUGACUUUCUCCUUGGGAAUAAACUUUUACUACAAAGUAGAUUGUGGCAUAUAGUAACGGUAUUUUUAUUGUACAGCUCGUUGGUUUGUAUUAAAUUCCCACCCCAAGAUCUGCCUUCUUUUUACAAGGAAACAUUGUUCUAUGGGAUUGUGUGUUUAGAUAUGCAUUUAAAACAUGUCUACCACCUUAGGAGAAAAAAUAGCCUCUGAGAUUUGGACCACACAUUGUUGGUACAGAAGCUGAAGAUGAUGUUUUCAUUUACCUCACAAAAUGCCACGCUUUUCUGUGUUUAAUUUCUAUUUCCUUCUUUCCCUCUACUUUUCACCCUUUUUGCAUAGUUAAAUCUUCAAAUCUGGUAAAAAAAAAAAAAAAACAAAACCUCAACCCCACUACAUUUAUUCUAAAUUCACGAGGAUUGUAUUUACUUAAAAAAAUACUUCUUUCAGGAUUGACACAGUACUUCUGCUUUCAGUAAAUCCAACAAUACUCAGUGUUACUGGAUGUUGGAUGGUAGCUUCACAGCAUUAAGAAUGCAGCAUGCAGCAUGAUGAAGAUCAAAAUGACUUACGCAGGCUUGAGCAGCUGUGCUGCCCAUAGGGUCAGGCAUUCUAGUUGGUGUGAUGAAACGUUUAUAAAUUAAACCAUUCAUGUGCAUUUUGUAUUGAUUUUCUAACAUACAAAAUGAGUGUCUUACCAGCAGAAUAAAAUACAAUAAAAUAUGUGUUUUUUUAAAUUGUGGGA